CUGCUAAGGUAAGAUGUAGGCAGUUGUGAGCUUAGACUCAGUCAAGGAAAUAAAGAAAAUCACUUCAAAUUUUCCCACAGAGAAGUAUUUAAUACCGGGUGGGGGCGGGGGGAGAAUAGAUUACAAAAUUGCUGAAACGGUUGGAGAAGCAAGGAAGGGAGAUGUUUUCACUGAUUGGGAGCUAUCUGCUGCCAGCCCCUCUGAAGUCCAGACCCAACCAACCUGCUGUUCUAGAGCCUGCGGAGAGAAUGAACUGAAAGGCAACAAGACUGGGGACACCAGGCCAUCAACACUGUCUCAGAACAAAGGACAAGGAUCUGCCAGUGUGCUUCCUGCAUCCAGUCUGGAUCAGAUGCCUGUACUUAGCAGCCAUGGAUGUCACCAUGCUGAGUCAUACUGCAGCCAGGCGGAAAUGAAAAUUUUUCAGUCGUAAUUCUGGCUUUUUUUUUUUUUUUUUUUUUUUUUUUUUUUAGAAUUGUUUCCAGUAUGGACUUUGUCUGAACUUCUAUUUUAAUGCUUAUCUUGAUCACUGGUUUGUGUUUCUUUUUUUGUGGAUUUGUUGUGUGGUACCUCUUUAAAACUGUCCCCUCGGGUGAAUGCCUUGCUCAAUCUUCUCAGACCCCAGCAGGAGUGAAAUGCUGAAUGUAAAACUGAAGGGAAUGGCCACCACAGGUGACAAUGCCCAAAUCCCCAGAGGCUGAGACUGUGUAAGCUCCUGUGACAAAAUAACAUUUGCAGCUGGGACUAAGGGAACUCAAGAUAAGAAACUGCCUUGGGUUACCCAGGUGGCCUUCUCUAACUGCAAGGGAGGCAGGGGAGGACAGGUGUUAACAGUAGCAGGGGACAGAGAGUGGAGACUCACUCCUGUUAACAGUGAAGAUAGGGAGCAGACAACAGAACAGAGGACUGAUGAAGGUGAUUAAACAGAGAUUCCCAAGUCUCCGAGUCUCCUGCUAAUGCUGGGCUUUUUCCCCCAGAGAGGCCAGUCUGGAGCGCUGACCUUUGAACUGUGAAGCAAUAAACCUAUGGGUUUUUAAGUGUUUGUGGAGACC
rnacentral:lncRNA from 1 species